rnacentral:rRNA from 1 species
AUUGAACACUGGCGGCAGGCCUAACACAUGCAAGUCGAGCGGAUGAAGGGAGCUUGCUCCUGGAUUCAGCGGCGGACGGGUGAGUAAUGCCUAGGAAUCUGCCUGGUAGUGGGGGAUAACGUCCGGAAACGGGCGCUAAUACCGCAUACGUCCUGAGGGAGAAAGUGGGGGAUCUUCGGACCUCACGCUAUCAGAUGAGCCUAGGUCGGAUUAGCUAGUUGGUGGGGUAAAGGCCUACCAAGGCGACGAUCCGUAACUGGUCUGAGAGGAUGAUCUGUCACACUGGAACUGAGACACGGUCCAGACUCCUACGGGAGGCAGCAGUGGGGAAUAUUGGACAAUGGGCGAAAGCCUGAUCCAGCCAUGCCGCGUGUGUGAAGAAGGUCUUCGGAUUGUAAAGCACUUUAAGUUGGGAGGAAGGGCAGUAAGUUAAUACCUUGCUGUUUUGACGUUACCAACAGAAUAAGCACCGGCUAACUUCGUG